rnacentral:rRNA from 1 species
UACGUAGGGUGCAAGCGUUGUCCGGAAUUAUUGGGCGUAAAGAGCUCGUAGGCGGUCUGUCGCGUCUGGUGUGAAAAUCCGGGGCUCAACCCCGGACUUGCAGUGGGUACGGGCAGACUAGAGUGUGGUAGGGGAGACUGGAAUUCCUGGUGUAGCGGUGAAAUGCGCAGAUAUCAGGAGGAACACCGAUGGCGAAGGCAGGUCUCUGGGCAUUAACUGACGCUGAGGAGCAAAAGCGUGGGGAGCAAACAGG